rnacentral:rRNA from 1 species
UACGUAGGGGGCAAGCGUUGUCCGGAAUCAUUGGGCGUAAAGAGCGUGUAGGCGGCUCGGUAAGUCCGCUGUGAAAGUCCAGGGCUCAACCCUGGAAUGCCGGUGGAAACUGUCGAGCUAGAGUCCGGAGGAGGCGAGUGGAAUUCCUGGUGUAGCGGUGAAAUGCGCAGAUAUCAGGAGGAACACCAAUGGCGAAGGCAGCUCGCUGGGACGGUACUGACGCUGAGACGCGAAAGCGUGGGGAGCAAACAGG